AUGAAUCAAUUUCUCGCAACAAUGGCGGACAAAACCCCAACCCAGGAAGCAAUCGACUAGCAAGGAGGAAUGAGAUCGGCGAUACCGGAACCACCAAGGAGAAGACAGUGACGGUGGCGCCAUCACCGUCGGCGACACCACUCGCGACAGUUCGCCGAAGCUAUCCAUCUCCAAUACCUAAGAAAAACCGUCUUCACCUCCUCAAAUUUUCUCCUAAUUGCUUCCACAACUGCUCUCAUCGUUUUUCAUUGGCCAUUUGUAGCUAAUAAGGUUUGGAAACGAUUUCUCCUAAUUUGUGCAGACUUAUGGUGAUUUUGCCAGCAUGAUGAAGUUUGAGCAAAGAAAAAAAAAAAGCCCUUACUAGGACAGGUGAUGAGGAAGCAUCAAUGUUAGAGAGUUCACUGCAAGAUUUUGUAUCACGCUAUUAUCCCUAGUUCACUGUAAUAUGAGGAAGCAUCAAUAUUAUAUUUUGAAA